CUUUAUAUUCUAGUAGGUAGGUUGCUUUUUAAAGGUGAUGUAAGAAACACAAAACAUUAAAACAUAACUUCCUAAUGAUGAGACAUUAACAAAGCACCUUAUUUAAACCACACAUUCACUGUAACCCUUGGUUUUGUUAGAUCUCUGAGUGCACUAAUAAGCCUUAAUUGGGCUGAUGAGCUUCAUUCGAGGUCUCCACCCCACAGCCUUUAAGCUCAGCCUAGGUGGUCAGUUUCUGUUUGGGUUGUGUCCAGGGGUGCAGCUGAUUUUGACUCUGUUCCUGAAUUGUUGGGCUUUCCUGGACCUAGUAUAUCACCUGGUCCAAUGCUCACUGGGGUGAUACUAGGAUUUGUUGCCAUCAUGUGUCCCUUAGAGAGCAGCACUUGAUUUUUCUUAUAUACUUCAGAAGCCCUUGUGAAAGGUUUAGUUGGCAAAUUUGGUAGACGUUCAUCGGUUCAUCGCAGAUCUUCUGUUAUAAAUGGGGCUGGGAGAUGAAGAUGGCUUGAAGGAGGAGACUUUACAAAUAGGAUUAGUGGUGAAAGCACAGACAGAAAAGCAUGCUAACCAGGUGGGAGAAUCACAGGCCCUGGAAGCAAAGACAGAAGGGGCAAAGUGCCAUCAGUAGAAAAUUGAGCGAUGCUUGGAAGUCCCUUCAGAGUCCCAUGGGUCUGCAAGCCCUCGUACACCUGGCAGGUCAGCAGCUCCAUCCAAUAGACCCGCCUCUGUCCUCAAGAAAUGCGUACAUGGUCAUGGAGAAUGUAAUCUCCUGCUGCAGGACCAGAGCAUGACCUGGUACAUAAGGUGUGUGGUAGCUACAAUGCUCCCCUGUGUGCUACCACUUCUAGAAGCAUGUGGGAGUAACCUUGUAAGUGAUUCCGAUUAACACAGAUGGCUGUUUCUCUACUACUCCAGCCCUCUCAGCAGAUGGAGUGGGCUUGGCGCUGCGGUGUUAGGAGCUGCAGAGGACGUGUAUGCUUGGUGGAAGCACAGACUGAGUCACUCACAUUUAUGGUGUUCUUCCUGUUGAAAAGAUUAAUGUGGAGAUGAAAAAUAAAGUGCAAAAAAAUUGCUUCACUGUAGAAGUAACCGUGGGUCCUAGUAAGGAGCUAUAAAAAGCAAUACGGUGGAGAUUGAUUUAUGAAGAACAAAAACAGAAGGAAUUCUGCAGAACACAGUUAAAUGAUUACAACUGCUAGGCUUUGAGGAAGGCCAGGUGCUGUUUACAGUGGGACACAAGGGCAUAGCUGAAUUCAGGGGAAUGAAAAUGAGUAUACAGAAUGCUGGCUGAACAUCCCAGAAAUGUGCUCGGUAGUGGGAGCUUUCUUCUGCUUCCCAAAGGGAGUGGGAGAGAGCCCCAGCACUCUGGAUAAAUUGGUUCUGUAUUGAACAAAACUGGGCUAAAGUAUGUCUUAGAACUUCAUGGCUGUGCAGGGUUGUAGGAAGGGGCUCAAUACAGGCUAUUCUGACCUCGCGGAGGUCACAGUGUACCUCACACGGCUGUGCGAAGGCAAGUACUUGCUUCUCCACCUUGGAGAAGGUGUGUGAAGAGCAGCAGGUUCUGAGGAGCUGCAAUUCCUUGUCCUAAAGCAUCUGUCUGUGUUUCUGCUUUAGAUGAAAUUGGAGAAUUGCAUGAACUCUUCCAGCUCUUUAGUGAAUCUUAUUUUUCUUUCCUUAUAGACUAAGCCAGUACUGGCUUGUAUAAAUUGAAGUUUUUCUCAAUUCCUGGAAACUUCUGAGAGGAUUUUAGGGUUAAACUGGGACCAGAUGAUCAGGCUUUUUUCUGGUGACAGGUUAGUUUGGGGAAUUGGAAGGGAAAGCAUGUGACAGAUUUUGGGAAUAAAUUCUAGGGAUCUAGAGUACGUGCAUACACCUGUCUCUGAGAUGGCAAGGACUAUUUUCAGUUAGUUCAUCCCCUGUUCAGGAAACCCCUCAGUUUCCUUGGAAGGACUUCAGCUCUGUUCCUUCCUCAAGGUAAUCAGUGCAGUCAUAUUGAUUCACUGAAUAAAAUAGGCCUUGAAUAUCAGAUAAUUUACCACCCAGAUAGAAAUCAGCAGCAGUGCCAAUUAAGUCAAAGUCAGUCUGAAAGCGGUAGGAAAGUAGAACGAGACCCAACCACUUAACAGUGAAGCAUAUAUGAUUUUUGAAGUAUUUUUUCUUCCUAGGAACCAUCAUGGAGCAAUGCUUGAUAGGUCAAAAAAUAACAAAAAGCUGAAAGGUACAACGAUAAAAACUUCAGAAAGGGAUGUGCAGCCUACUGAACACAGGGCAAUCUUAGUCUCAUUCAAGCACCUCUUCCAAGUUUUUUCCCCUCACCACCCCCUCUUCCACUGUAGCCUGUAUCCCAGUUCAUGUAACACCGCCUUGACAGUUUGACUUCUGAGAUUUGACUUAAAUUAAUGGUCUAGAUGAGCAACCCAGACACAUUUCCAGGUAUCUGUGAGUUCCUAAUUGAUUUCUGCACAGAAAGCACACCAUUCGCAUUCAGUGUCCAUGCAGACAUCCACAGUUAGGUAAUGCAUUUUCUGAUCUCUUACUGUUUUAGAACAUGUUGUUUUGGGGGGAACAGCAAAGCCCAUGAGAAUUGCUGAAUUCUGCUUGUGUGGGUACGAAACCAAACCACAUGUUCUGUAUGUGUCCUGGAUGCAAAUCCAGGAGCUGCUGCACUGGUCCAUUGCAAAGAACAGAACAGUUCUCUCCUACAGGGGCCAACACAUAUUCUUUAGAAACAGGUUUAAAAGUCUCUUUACUUAAUGACUCAGGUUGGAUCAGUGAAUAAUACUUCUUCCGUGCCCUGUGUGGAGAGCAGUUUUUGUCUGAACUGAGAACAAACUAUGAUUUUUAUCUUUAUUGGUGUAACAACACAUACUGUGCUUCAUCAGACAGUCAUCUCUAACCUUUUGUUGGCUUUUACAAAUUUACUGUACUGCACCAUUGUCACAGCCCAUGCCGAUUGGUUUUCUGUUUUGCUCUUUUCAUCUUCCCAGAAUUUCUAACGCGUAAAGUUUCCUCUGAUUUCUGCCACAUCAUCUGGAUUUGGAGCCUGACUAAAUGCCACAAUUUUAGCCUGUGGAGGACUUUCGAUGUCAUAUUGCUGAAUUGGGCUUUUUUUCCUCCAUUGUUCUGUAAAACGUUCCUCUAGGUCACUUACUGCUUUUCCAGAAGAUGCUAACGCUUGAUAAGGGAAUAAGGGAAUCAUACUGGUAACAAGUCCUGUGACUGCCUACCCUAUGCCUCUUGAUAAAUUGUUUUAGAAUUUUUUGGAGAAACUUUUCCAAUGGACUCUGAGGACUUUUUAAUUUUCUGGUCAAUGUGGCAGAUUUUUGUGACUUUAAUGCAUGAUGAUAGUGUUGAAAUUUCAUUUUUGUACCAGCGCUGGUCAUGCUAAUUGUUAUGCUUUUUAAAAUUGUCUUGCUGCUUAGCACCUAAUGUGGUCUUCCCUUGUAUUAUACAGCAAGUAAGAUUAUUUACACCUCUUAAUGUUUCUUUAUCUACAUCUGAUGGGUGACUCUGGGACAAUGCUAGCUGCAUAUUUUUCUUUGUUAUUUAUAAAUAAGCACAUUUGUUUUGGCUUCACGCCAGGUCAGUCAG